rnacentral:piRNA from 1 species
CACGGUAUUACACACACUAGGGAAAAGCUG